GAGUUUGAUCUUGGCUCAGAUUGAACGCUGGCGGCAGGCCUAACACAUGCAAGUCGAGCGGUAGAGAGAAGCUUGCUUCUCUUGAGAGCGGCGGACGGGUGAGUAAUGCCUAGGAAUCUGCCUGGUAGUGGGGGAUAACGUUCGGAAACGGACGCUAAUACCGCAUACGUCCUACGGGAGAAAGCAGGGGACCUUCGGGCCUUGCGCUAUCAGAUGAGCCUAGGUCGGAUUAGCUAGUUGGUGAGGUAAUGGCUCACCAAGGCGACGAUCCGUAACUGGUCUGAGAGGAUGGAUCAGUCACACUGGAACUGAGACACGGUCCAGACUCCUACGGGAGGCAGCAGUGGGGAAUAUUGGACAAUGGGCGAAAGCCUGAUCCAGCCAUGCCGCGUGUGUGAAGAAGGUCUUCGGAUUGUAAAGCACUUUAAGUUAGGGUAGGAAGGGCGAGUUAGUGAAUACCUUGCUGUUUUGUACGUUACCGACAGAAUAAGACACCGGCUAACUCUGUG
rnacentral:rRNA from 1 species